rnacentral:rRNA from 1 species
UACAGAGGUCCCGAGCGUUGUUCGGAUUUAUUGGGCGUAAAGCGCGCGCAGGCGGAUCUAAAAGUCAGGUGUGAAAUCUCGGAGCUUAACUCCGAAAGUGCGCCUGAAACUCUAGAUCUAGAAUAUCGGAGAGGGAAGGGGAAUUUCUCAUGUAGGGGUAAAAUCCGUAGAUAUGAGAAGGAACACCAGAGGCGAAGGCGCCUUCCUGGACGAUGAUUGACGCUGAGGCGCGAAAGCGUGGGGAGCAAACAGG